rnacentral:rRNA from 1 species
UACGUAGGAGACGAGCGUUGUCCGGAAUCACUGGGCGUAAAGCGCGUGUAGGCGGAUGAGCAAGUCUGCUGUGAAAGCUCCUGGCUUAACCGGGAGUGGUCGGUGGAAACUGCUCGUCUGGAGGACGGUAGAGGUAGGUAGAAUUCCCGGUGUAGUGGUGAAAUGCGUAGAGAUUGGGAGGAAUACCUGUGGCGAAGGCGGCCUACUGGGCCGGACCUGACGCUGAGACGCGAAGGCGUGGGGAGCGAACGGG